GACGAACGCUGGCGGCGUGCUUAACACAUGCAAGUCGAACGGAAAGGCCCUGCUUGUGUGGGGUGCUCGAGUGGCGAACGGGUGAGUAACACGUGAGUAACCUGCCCUUGACUUUGGGAUAACUUCAGGAAACUGGGGCUAAUACCGGAUAGGAGCUCCUGCUGCAUGGUGGGGGUUGGAAAGCUUCGGCGGUUGGGGAUGGACUCGCGGCUUAUUAGCUUGUUGGUGGGGUAGUGGCUUACCCAGGCUUUGACGGGUAGCCGGCCUGAGAGGGUGACCGGCCACAUUGGGCCUGAGAUACGGCCCAGACUCCUACGGGAGGCAGCAGUGGGAAAUAUUGCACAAUGGGCGGAAGUCUGAUGCAGAAACGCCGCGUGCGGAAUGACGGCCUUCGGGUUGUAAACCGCUUUCGCCUGUGACGAAGCGUGAGUGACGGUAAUGGGUGAAGAAGCACCGGCUAACUACGUG
rnacentral:rRNA from 1 species